ACCCCUGCUGUAACGUAAUGGAUAGCGCAUUGGACUUCUGAUCCAAAGAGUGUGGGUUGGAGUCCCACCUGGGAUG